rnacentral:rRNA from 1 species
AGAGUUUGAUCCUGGCUCAGGAUGAACGCUAGCGGGAGGCCUAACACAUGCAAGCCGAGCGGUAUUUGUCUUUCGGGACAGAGAGAGCGGCGUACGGGUGCGUAACACGUGUGCAACCUGCCUUUAUCUGGGGGAUAGCCUUUCGAAAGGGAGAUUAAUACCCCAUAAUAUAUAGACUGGCAUCAGUUUAUAUUGAAAACUCCGGUGGAUAGAGAUGGGCACGCGCAAGAUUAGAUAGUUGGUGAGGUAACGGCUCACCAAGUCGAUGAUCUUUAGGGGGCCUGAGAGGGUGAUCCCCCACACUGGUACUGAGACACGGACCAGACUCCUACGGGAGGCAGCAGUGAGGAAUAUUGGACAAUGGGUGCGAGCCUGAUCCAGCCAUCCCGCGUGAAGGACUAAGGCCUUAUGGGUUGUAAACUUCUUUUAUACUGGGAUAAACCUACUUACGCGUAAGUAGCUGAAGGUACAGUAUGAAUAAGCACCGGCUAACUCCGUGCCAGCCGCCGCGGUAAUAC